GGUGGCUCAGUGGUAGAGCAUUUGCCUUGUAUGCCAGAGGCCGUGGGUUCGAUUCCUCAGCACCA
rnacentral:tRNA from 1 species